rnacentral:tRNA from 1 species
GGCGGCAUGGCCGAGUGGUAAGGCGGAGGACUGCAAAUCCUUGUUCCCCAGUUCAAAUCCGGG